CCUACGGGGGCAGCAGUGAGGAAUAUUGGUCAAUGGGCGCGAGCCUGAACCAGCCAAGUCGCGUGAGGGAAGACGGUCCUAUGGAUUGUAAACCUCUUUUGUCGGGGAGCAAAAGACGCCACGCGUGGCGUUCCGAGAGUACCCGAAGAAAAAGCAUCGGCUAACUCCGUGCCAGCAGCCGCGGUAAUACGGAGGAUGCGAGCGUUAUCCGGAUUUAUUGGGUUUAAAGGGUGCGCAGGCGGAAGAUGAAGUCAGCGGUAAAAUUGAGAGGCUCAACCUCUUCGAGCCGUUGAAACGGGCGCUCUUGAGUGGAAGAGAAGUAUGCGGAAUGCGUGGUGUAGCGGUGAAAUGCAUAGAUAUCACGCAGAACCCCGAUUGCGAAGGCAGCAUGCCGGCUUCCGACUGACGCUGAAGCACGAAAGCGUGGGGAUCGAACAGGAUUAGAUACCCUUGUAGUC
rnacentral:rRNA from 1 species